rnacentral:misc_RNA from 1 species
GGAGUAAAAGUCGUAACAAGGUUUCCGUAGGUGAACCUGCGGAAGGAUCAUUAUUGUAUAACCGAGGUGCGAGGGCUGUCGCUGACCCGAAAGGUCGUGCACGCCCGAGUGCCCUCACACACAUCCAUCUCACCCCUAUGUGCACCACCGCGUGGGUCCCCCUUUGGCUUGUUCGGAGGGGGGCUUACGUUUUCACACGAACUUUGUAUGCAGUGUAGAAUGUAUUUUUUGUUUUUGCGAUCACGCAAUCAAUACAACUUUCAACAACGGAUCUCUUGGCUCUC